rnacentral:lncRNA from 7 species
AGAGAACUCCUAGGGACAUCAAACCUAGUUAUUCCAAAACAUGGCCCAUCAUCUUUAAAAACAUUUCUUGUGAUAUGCAUUGACCAACAUCUAGCAAAUAGUUAGUGGCAUCGAGAGCUACAUUGAACACUUGAUAAAAGCUCUAAGAGUAUCUCACGAAGUGCUUCCACGGAACUCCUAAGAACACCAAACUUUGGUUAUUGUCUUCAAAUCAUUUCAUGUGGCACGUGCUUGGCUAACCUUUGUCAAAUGGUUAAUGCCAUCGAGAGAGCCAUAUAUAUGAAUAAACAUAUCUAGAGCUCACAAAGCACAUGCAUAUAUGGAACUUGGAAACCGGAACCAUGAUUCAAAGAGUUAGGGUCUUGAAUACUUACAUGAGUGUUGAGUAUCACCAACUUUGAGGCGUGUAUG